GAGAUCAGACGUGUGUUCUUCCGAUCUGGAGAUUUAUCCAAAGAACCACUCAGAAAACGUUUUCAGAUCAACAACAUCUGCUGCUUCUAUGAGACUGGUGUAGAAACAACUGUCCAGAUGUUCUUCUCAUGCUCUCAGAUACAAUCUGCUUUGAUUUUCAAAGUGAUUCCAGACUAAAUCUCUUCAUUUCUGAGUCAUGUGACAGAAAACAGAAGAACUUUUGGACUGACUGCAGAAGAAAAAUGAUGAAUUGUUCAGUCAUGUAAUUCUCUGCUUGGUGAAGUUUUUCAUUCCUCUGAAUCACAUUUUAAAGUCAAUCCUCAACUUUCACUGAUUUCUAAUUGUUUAGCAGCUCAGUAAAAAUGAUCAAACUACUAAGACACAGAUCUUAGACACAAUCUUUGAAACAGUCCAGAUUCAUUUGUCCUCUUUGUUCAUAAAAACUCUAUUUUGAUCAAUAUUUAGUGAAGCUGGUUUCUUGUUUCUUCUGUAUUCUUCUCAUCUUCUCUGAAGCUUAAAUUCCUGAUUGAAGUCUUGAUGUCAGCUGAUAGUCAGAGAACUCUUUUCCUGUUUGAGAGCUUUGUUUCAUUGGUUUAGAAGGAAACACAGAGAAUUCCCUCCUGACUGGAUUGAUUUGGGAACAUGUUCAAUGUUUGUUCUAAUAAAGUCUGUUGAACUGUU